rnacentral:rRNA from 1 species
GACGAACGCUGGCGGCGUGCUUAACACAUGCAAGUCGAACGGAAAGGCCCUGCUUUUGUGGGGUGCUCGAGUGGCGAACGGGUGAGUAACACGUGAGUAACCUGCCCUUGACUUUGGGAUAACUUCAGGAAACUGGGGCUAAUACCGGAUAGGAGCUCCUGCUGCAUGGUGGGGGUUGGAAAGUUUCGGCGGUUGGGGAUGGACUCGAGGCUUAUCAGCUUGUUGGUGGGGUAGUGGCUUACCAAGGCUGUGACGGGUAGCCGGCCUGAGAGGGUGAACGGCCACAUUGGGACUGAGAUACGGCCCAGACUCCUACGGGAGGCAGCAGUGGGGAAUAUUGCACAAUGGGCGGAAGCCUGAUGCAGCAACGCCGCGUGCGGGAUGACGGCCUUCGGGUUGUAAACCGCUUUCGCCUGUGACGAAGCGUGAGUGACGGUAAUGGGUAAAGAAGCACCGGCUAACUACGUG